rnacentral:rRNA from 1 species
CCUAGGGGGGGCAGCAGGCGCGAAAACUUUACAAUGCGGGAAACCGUGACAGGGGGAUCCCAAGUGCUCAUGCAUUGCAUGGGCUGUUCUUUGGUCUAAGUAACCAGAGGAGUAAGGGCUGGGCAAGACCGGUGCCAGCCGCCGCGGUAAUACCGGCAGCUCAAGUGGUAGCCGCGAUUAUUGGGCCUAAAGCGUUCGUAGCCGGAUAAGUAAGUCUUUGGUUAAAUCCUGCAACUUAACUGUGGGAAAUCUAGGGAUACUGCUUGUCUUGAGACCGGGAGAGGUUAGAGGUACUCCUAGGGUAGGGGUGAAAUCCUGUAAUCCUAGGGGGACCACCUGUGGCGAAGGCGUCUAACUGGAACGGGUCUGACGGUGAGGGACGAAACCUAGGGGAGCGAGCCGGAUUAGAUACCCGGGUAGUCCUAGGCGUAAAUGAUGCGAGUUAAGUGUGGGGGCAUCUACGAGAUGGCCCUGUGCUGUAGGGUAGCCGUUAAACUCGCCGCCUGGGGAGUACGGUCGCAAGGCUGAAACUUAAAGGAAUUGGCGGGGGAGCACCACAAGAGGUGGAGGCUGCGGUUCAAUUGGAGUCAACGCCGGA